GGGUGAUAAUAUCCUGCUUUGGGGGUGUUUGUCAGCUGCAGGAAAUGGGAGAUAUCCUUAAUGGAAAUGUGGUCCAGAGCACUCAGGACCUCAGACUGGGCUGACGGUUCAUCUUUUAAUAGGAGAAUGACCCGAAGCACACAGCCAAGACCACGCAAGAGCAGCUUAGAGACUACUCUGUGAGUGUCCUGGAGUGGCCCUCCCAGAGCCCAUAAUUGAACCCAACUGAACAUCUCUGGAAAGACCUGAAAAUGGCUGUCCUCUGACGGCGCCCAUCCAACAUGACAUAGCUACAGAAAUGAAUGGCAGAAACUUUCCAACUC